rnacentral:rRNA from 1 species
GAUGAACGCUGGCGGCGUGCCUAAUACAUGCAAGUCGAACGAACAGACGAGGAUCUUGCUCCGCUGACGUUAGCGGCGGACGGGUGAGUAACACGUGUAUAACCCACCUAUAAUACUGGGAUAACUUCGGGAAACGGGAGCUUAUAGCGGAUAAGAUAUUGCACCGCAGGGGUGAAUAGUGAAAUACGGUGUUUCUGUCUCGUAUAGAUGCAUCCGGGCCGCAUUAGGUAGUUGGUAAGGUAACGGCUUACCAAGGCAACGAUGCGUAUCCGAGCUGAGAGAGUGGUCGCCGACACUGGAGCUGAGACACCGUCAAGGCUACUACGAGACGCCGCAGUCGCGAAUCUGCCGCAGUGGGGGAGAGCCUGACAGAGUGGGGCCGCGCCAGUGAUGAAGGUCUUGGGUUCGUAAAACUCUCUUAUUAGGGAUAAACCACUGUGUAAGUAGAUGUACCCGGAUUGACGGUAACUAGUAAGAAAGCCACGGCUAACUACGUG